AUUGCCCUAGUAACGGCGAGUGAAGCGGCAAAAGCUCAGAUUUUAAAUCUGGCGUCAUUUUGGCGUCCGAGUUGUAGUCUGUAGAGGAGUAUUCGAGUGUGGCUUUGGCUUAAGUUCCUUGGAACAGGGCGUCAUAGAGGGUGAGAACCCCGUUAACGGCCUUUGUCUUAUGCUCAUGUGAAUCUCCUUCAACGAGUCGAGUUGUUUGGGAAUGCAGCUCUAAAUGGGUGGUAAAUUCCAUCUAAAGCUAAAUACUGGCAAGAGACCGAUAGCGCACAAGUAGAGUGAUCGAAAGAUGAAAAGAACUCUGAACAGAGAGUUAAAUAGUACGUGAAAUUGUUGAAAGGGAAGCACUUGCGACCAGACGCACUUGCAGCUGAUCAGCCUCCAUUCUUGGGGGUGCACUCUGCUGUCUGUGGGUCAGCAUCAGUUAUAGUGGUGGGAAAAAGACAAGGGGAAUGUAGCUCCUUUCGGGGAGUGUUAUAGCCCUUUGUGUAAUGCUGCCUGCUGUGACUGAGGACCGCGCUUCGGCGAGGAUGCUGGCAUAAUGGUUGUAAGUGACCCGUCUUGAAACACGGACCAAGGAGUCUAACAUCUAUGCGAGUGUUUGGGUGUUCAAACCCUUACGCGGAAUGAAAGUGAAUGGAGGUGGGAACCGUAAGGUGCACCAUCGACCGAUCCUGAUGUUUACGGAUGGAUUUGAGUAGGAGCAUAGCUGUUGGGACCCGAAAGAUGGUGAACUAUGCCUGAAUAGGGUGAAGCCAGAGGAAACUCUGGUGGAGGCUCGCAGCGGUUCUG
rnacentral:rRNA from 2 species